AUAUGCCAGUCUGGAUAUACUGGAGAUGGAUUUAAUUGCCCAGAUGUUGACGAAUGUGUGUUUUCUUCACCAUGUAAUUCCAAUGCUAUGUGCAAUAACACACGUGGAUCUUAUAUCUGCAUAUGUAAUUCUGGAUAUAUACGAGAUGGAUUUAAUUGCACAGAUGUUGACGAAUGCCUAAC
rnacentral:lncRNA from 1 species